rnacentral:rRNA from 1 species
UGGGGAAUAUUGCACAAUGGGCGAAAGCCUGAUGCAGCGACGCCGCGUGAGUGAAGAAGUAUUUCGGUAUGUAAAGCUCUAUCAGCAGGGAAGAAAAUGACGGUACCUGACUAAGAAGCCCCGGCUAACUACGUGCCAGCAGCCGCGGUAAUACGUAGGGGGCAAGCGUUAUCCGGAUUUACUGGGUGUAAAGGGAGCGUAGACGGCAUGGCAAGUCUGAAGUGAAAGCCCGGGGCUCAACCCCGGGACUGCUUUGGAAACUGUCAGGCUAGAGUGCUGGAGAGGUAAGUGGAAUUCCUAGUGUAGCGGUGAAAUGCGUAGAUAUUAGGAGGAACAUCAGUGGCGAAGGCGGCCAUCUGGCACAUAACUGACGCUGAGGUGCGAAAGCGUGGGUAGCAAACAGGAUUAGAUACCC